rnacentral:rRNA from 1 species
GACGAACGCUGGCGGCGUGCUUAACACAUGCAAGUCGAACGAAGAGCGAUGGAAGCUUGCUUCUAUCAAUCUUAGUGGCGAACGGGUGAGUAACGCGUAAUCAACCUGCCCUUCAGAGGGGGACAACAGUUGGAAACGACUGCUAAUACCGCAUACGAUCUAAUCUCGGCAUCGAGGAUAGAUGAAAGGUGGCCCCUACAUGUAAGCUAUCACUGAAGGAGGGGAUUGCGUCUGAUUAGCUAGUUGGAGGGGUAACGGCCCACCAAGGCGAUGAUCAGUAGCCGGUCUGAGAGGAUGAACGGCCACAUUGGGACUGAGACACGGCCCAGACGCCUACGGGAGGCAGCAGUGGGGAAUCUUCCGCAAUGGACGAAAGUCUGACGGAGCAACGCCGCGUGAGUGAUGACGGCCUUCGGGUUGUAAAGCUCUGUUAAUCGGGACGAAAGGCCUUCUUGCGAAUAGUGAGAAGGAUUGACGGUACCGGAAGAGAAAGCCACGGCUAACUACGUG